rnacentral:rRNA from 1 species
UACAGAGGUCCCAAGCGUUGUUCGGAUUCACUGGGCGUAAAGGGUGCGUAGGCGGUCGGGAAAGUCGGAUGUGAAAUCUCCGGGCUUAACCCGGAAAUGGCAUUGGAAACUACCUUGCUAGAGGUUUUGAGGGGGGACUGGAAUUCUCGGUGUAGCAGUGAAAUGCGUAGAUAUCGAGAGGAACACCGGUGGCGAAGGCGAGUCCCUGGAAAACACCUGACACUGAGGCACGAAAGCUAGGGGAGCAAACAGG